UUCCGGUUGAUCCUGCCGCCGGACCUGACUGCUAUCGGAUUGAUACUAAGCCAUGCGAGUCAUUGUAGCAAUACAAGGCAUACGGCUCAGUAACGCGUAGUCAACCUAACCUAUGGACGGGAAUAACCUCGGGAAACUGAGAAUAAUGCCCGAUAGAACAUUAUGCCUGGAAUGGUUUAUGUUCCAAAUGAUUUAUCGCCGUAGGAUGGGACUGCGGCCUAUCAGUUUGUUGGUGAGGUAAUGGCCCACCAAGACUAUUACAGGUACGGGCUCUGAGAGGAGUAGCCCGGAGAUGGGUACUGAGACACGGACCCAGGCCCUAUGGGGCGCAGCAGGCGAGAAAACUUUGCAAUGUGCGAAAGCACGACAAGGUUAAUCCGAGUGGUUUCUGCUAAAGGAACCUUUUGUCAGUCCUAGAAACACUGAUGAAUAAGGGGUGGGCAAGUUCUGGUGUCAGCCGCCGCGGUAAAACCAGCACCUCAAGUGGUCAGGAUGAUUAUUGGGCCUAAAGCAUCCGUAGCCGGCUCUGUAAGUUUUCGGUUAAAUCUGUACGCUCAACGUACAGGCUGCCGGGAAUACUGCAAAGCUAGGGAGUGGGAGAGGUAGACGGUACUCGGUAGGAAGGGGUAAAAUCCUUUGAUCUAUUGAUGACCACCUGUGGCGAAGGCGGUCUACCAGAACACGUCCGACGGUGAGGGAUGAAAGCUGGUGGAGCAAACCGGAUUAGAUACCCGGGUAGUCCCAGCUGUAAACCAUGCAAACUCAGUGAUGCAUUGGCUUGUGGCCAAUGCAGUGCUGCAGGGAAGCCGUUAAGUUUGCCGCCUGGGAAGUACGUACGCAAGUAUGAACUUAAAGGAAUUGGCCGGGGGAGCACCACAAGGGGUGAAGCCUGCGGUUCAAUUGGAGUCAACGCCGGA
rnacentral:rRNA from 1 species